UUUAGGGGCAUUUUCUUUAAAAUUUGUUAAUAUUGCAAUUAGGUCCAUAGGAGGAGUAUAACCCAUUUUCCCUUCCUCCCUCUCCCAUCCCCAUCGAUAUCACCCUCUCCUUCCCUCACACCUCCCAUUUCUGGCCACCUUUCACUACCAGAAGCUUGUUGUGAGCCGUCCUCGACGUCGCCACCUGGUCCCCACCAUUAGUUCCGCCUAAAUCCAACGAGGAGUGGUGUUUUGAGUGGAAGACUCUCCUCUUUGCUACCAUCACCAUAUCACUGCCCUGCAGCCGCUACUUCUCUGAUCCGAUGCUGGAAACGACUUCCUCAUCUUCCAAAACCUAUGACCGAGCUCCCUCGCCUCUAAUGCUGCCGUCUAGCACCGUCCAAGCCUCACCGGAGCUGAAGCUUUCCAGCCUCGAUCUGGUGGCUUUCAAUGAGUUUUAGGCUGUGAUUUUGGUUUUUUCGAACUCCACGCUUCUCAAGCUACGUGUGGGUACCUUUGGAUUUGAUUUUUGACACCGUUGAGUAUACCGACCUUCGGACCGUGGUAUUAUAGAUGUGCAUAUCUGCAGGUGACAGUUAGGCCUUCUGCAGUCUCUAUUUUUUUGGUAGCCCGACUUCCUCCUUCCUUGGGCUUAAUGUAAUUAUUCUACACUGUAUUUCUUACUAUUUGAACUUCUAAUAUACUCCGUAGUAUUUAUUCUAAUGAUGUGACAUGUUAAGCUAUUUGAUGAUGUAGUAACUGAAUAUGUUAUUGAAUUGAUAUAACUUUUGGAAUUUA